GGUGGCUCAGUGGUAGAGCUCUUGCCUUGCAUGCAUGAGGCCCUGGGUUCGAUUCCUCGGCACCA
rnacentral:tRNA from 1 species